rnacentral:rRNA from 1 species
AUUGAACGCUGGCGGCAGGCUUAACACAUGCAAGUCGAGCGGGGGAAGGUAGCUUGCUACCGGACCUAGCGGCGGACGGGUGAGUAAUGCUUAGGAAUCUGCCUAUUAGUGGGGGACAACAUCUCGAAAGGGAUGCUAAUACCGCAUACGUCCUACGGGAGAAAGCAGGGGAUCUUCGGACCUUGCGCUAAUAGAUGAGCCUAAGUCGGAUUAGCUAGUUGGUGGGGUAAAGGCCUACCAAGGCGACGAUCUGUAGCGGGUCUGAGAGGAUGGACCGCCACACUGGGACUGGGACACGGCGCAGACUCCUACGGGAGGCAGCAGUGGGGGAUAUUGGACAAUGGGGGGAACCCUGAUCCAGCCAUGCCGCGUGUGUGAAGAAGGCCUUAUGGUUGUAAAGCACUUUAAGCGAGGAGGAGGCUACUCUAGUUAAUACCUAGGGAUAGUGGACGUUACUCGCAGAAUAAGCACCGGCUAACUCUGUGCCAGCCGCCGCCGUAA